UACGUAGGGUGCAAGCGUUGUCCGGAAUUAUUGGGCGUAAAGAGCGUGUAGGCGGCUUGAUUAGUCUGCUGUGAAAGUCCAGGGCUCAACCCUGGAAUGCCGGUGGAUACUGUCAAGCUAGAGUCCGGAAGGGGCGAGUGGAAUUCCUGGUGUAGCGGUGAAAUGCGCAGAUAUCGGGAGGAACACCAAUGGCGAAGGCAGCUCGCUGGGACGUGACUGACGCUGAGACGCGAAAGCGUGGGGAGCAAACAGG
rnacentral:rRNA from 1 species